UACGGGGGGGGUAAGCGUUGUUCGGAAUUACUGGGCGUAAAGGGCUCGUAGGCGGCCAACUAAGUCGGAUGUGAAAUCCCCAAGCUUAACUUGGGAACUGCAUCCGAUACUGGAUGGCUUGAAUCCGGGAGAGGGAUGCAGAAUUCCAGGUGUAGCGGUGAAAUGCGUAGAUAUCUGGAGGAAUACCGGUGGCGAAGGCGGCAUCCUGGACCGGCAUUGACGCUGAGGAGCGAAAGCUAGGGGAGCAAACGGGG
rnacentral:rRNA from 1 species